UACGAAGGGUGCAAGCGUUACUCGGAAUUACUGGGCGUAAAGCGUGCGUAGGUGGUUUGUUAAGUCUGAUGUGAAAGCCCUGGGCUCAACCUGGGAAUUGCAUUGGAUACUGACAGGCUAGAGUGCGGUAGAGGGUAGUGGAAUUCCCGGUGUAGCAGUGAAAUGCGUAGAGAUCGGGAGGAACAUCUGUGGCGAAGGCGACUACCUGGACCAGCACUGACACUGAGGCACGAAAGCGUGGGGAGCAAACAGG
rnacentral:rRNA from 1 species